UAAGAGCUGUAGGAGCUGUAGGAGCUGUAAGAGCUGUAAAAGCUGUAGGAGCUGUAGGAGGUGUAAGAGCUGUAGGAGAUGUAAGAGCUGUAGGAGCUGUAGCAGCUGUAAGAGCUGUAGGAGGUGUAAGAGCUGUAGGAGCUGUAGGAGCUGUAAGAGCUGUAGGAGGUGUAGGAGCUGUAGGAGGUGUAAGAGCUGUAGGAGGUGUAGGAGCUGUAGGAGAUGUAGGAGGUGUAAGAGCUAUAAGAGCUGUAAAAGCUGUAGGAGCUGUAGGAGAUGUUAAGGAGCUGUAGGAGCUGUAGGUGCUGUAGGAGGUGUAAGAGCUGUAGGAGCUGUAGGAGCUGUAAGAGCUGUAGGAGGUGUAGGAGCUGUAGGAGAUGUAGGAGGUGUAAGAGCUGUAAGAGCUGUAAAAGCUGUAGGAGCUGUAGGAGGUGUAAGAGCUGUAAAAGCUGUAGGAGCUGUAGGAGGUGUAAGAGCUGUAAGAGUUGUAAGAGCUGUAAAAGAUGUAGGAGCUGUAGGAGGUGUAAGAGCUGUAGGAGCUGUAGGAGCUGUAAGAGCUGUAGGAGCUGUAGGAGGUGUAAGAGCUGUAGGAGCUGUAAGAGUUGUAAGAGCUGUAAAAGCUGUAGGAGCUGUAGGAGCUGUAGGAGGUGUAAGAGCUGU